rnacentral:lncRNA from 1 species
ACAUACCUGCCAACUUUUCAAAAUGCCCAUGGGGGUUUUACGUGCAAAAUGGCUGCCACAGUCCUAGAAAACCUUCAAGGGGCCUUCAAAUAUAUUUUAAUGUUGUUUUUUGGCUUCUUCAUACUUUUACAAGCCUUUUGCCAUUGUAAAAUUAAUUGUUUUGUAUAAAAUUGUGGACAAAAUUACUGUUUCAAAAUUUCCAUUUGGGAGCCUCCAUGGGGGAAAUCCCCCGCAAAUAGUGACAGUUGGCAGGUAUGUA